GGGCGCGUAGCUCAGCUGGGAGAGCAUCUGCCUUACAAGCAGGAGGUCAUAGGUUCGAGCCCUAUCGCGCCCA
rnacentral:tRNA from 1 species